UGCUUUUGCAGUAUGCCUGAUCUGUCAAACUGAAGGGAGAGCAAUAUUUGUGUGUUCCCUCUCAGAUGAGGAUAUUCAUAAAUGCGGGAGAUGUCUGGAGGAGUUCUCCGCUCUGGAUGCUUUCAUCCAACAUAAACUCAGCAGGAGCUGCAGGCAUCCUCAGCAAGACCAUCAGACAAAUGUUGUCCCAAAUGAAGGUGCUUCCGCUGAGGUGAAAUUGACUGAAAAUGAUAGUUCAUCUGAUGAAGCUGGCACGUCGAAUGCAGACAAGAGAGAAAAAGCAGCAGCUGGAGGAAAAAAGAGAAGCC